rnacentral:misc_RNA from 1 species
AAGUCGUAACAAGGUUUCCGUAGGUGAACCUGCGGAAGGAUCAUUAACAACAUAUCCUAACUUAAAAACCCUGUGAACUUUCAACCCCAAACUGCUUGAUCCCAGUACCUCAGCAAUCUCUGGUAAAUCAUAGUGAACAGCUUUGAUUCGGAGACCUCUGAAUAACCUUGGGCGGUCGCGGUUGGUAAGGCAAGUGACCCGGUACCCUCAAGACCAGUGUUCAAUGAUCUGUCAGUGUUCAUUACGCUGGAGGCCGACACGGCCGGCGACUGGGUCAGCGAGCUCUGCUCCCACUGUUACUACUUACAAGAUUUCCCAAUUAGUGAAAGCUAUUGGGCUAUAACUAAACGACUGUUAACAAUGGAUAUCUCGAUUCUC